UUUUAAAUCAAGUCGGCAUUUUUCAAGAAUAUAUGAAAUUCUAUUGAUCUGAAUUUAACAAAUUCCUACAACCAAUAUAUGUACUCUCUUUUGCAUUGCAACUACAUCAUUUCAAUUAAUCGCUAACAAAUGCUUUCCUUUUGCAACUCUUUCUUUUUCUUUCACAGCCCAUUCGCACUUCCUUUUGUUGCUAGCUAGUCUCUC
rnacentral:lncRNA from 1 species